rnacentral:rRNA from 1 species
GAUGAACGCUGGCGGCGUGCCUAAUACAUGCAAGUCGAGCGAACAGAUAAGGAGCUUGCUCCUUUGACGUUAGCGGCGGACGGGUGAGUAACACGUGGAUAACCUACCUAUAAGACUGGGAUAACUUCGGGAAACCGGAGCUAAUACCGGAUAAGAUAUUGAACCGCAUGGUUCAAUAGUGAAAGGCGGCUUUGCUGUCACUUAUAGAUGGAUCCGCGCCGUAUUAGCUAGUUGGUAAGGUAACGGCUUACCAAGGCAACGAUACGUAGCCGACCUGAGAGGGUGAUCGGCCACACUGGAACUGAGACACGGUCCAGACUCCUACGGGAGGCAGCAGUAGGGAAUCUUACGCAAUGGGCGAAAGCCUGACGGAGCAACGCCGCGUGAGUGAUGAAGGUCUUCGGAUCGUAAAACUCUGUUAUCAGGGAAGAACAAAUGUGUAAGUAACUGUGCACAUCUUGACGGUACCUGAUCAGAAAGCCACGGCUAACUACGUG